GUAGGGUGCAGGCGUUAAUCGGAAUUACUGGGCGUAAAGCGUGCGCAGGCGGUUUGCUAAGACAGAUGUGAAAUCCCCGGGCUUAACCUGGGAACUGCGUUUGUAACUGGCAAGCUAGAGUGUGGCAGAGGGGGGUAGAAUUCCAGGUGUAGCAGUGAAAUGCGUAGAUAUCUGGAGGAAUACCGAUGGCGAAGGCAGCCCCCUGGGUUAACACUGACGCUCAUGCACGAAAGCGUGGGGAGCAAACAGGAUUAGAUACCCUGGUAGUCCACGCCCUAAACUAUGUCAACUGGUUGUCGGGGAAGCAAUUCCUUGGUAACGAAGCUAACGCGUGAAGUUGACCGCCUGGGGAGUACGGCCGCAAGGUUA
rnacentral:rRNA from 1 species